CAUGGACUUCGAUAGUUUUCAGCUGUUUUUGGAUGUCUGUCUAAUCUUUAAGGUUCUGAACGGUCUAGCCCCUCCACCAUUACAGAAUUUUAUAAAGAAGAAAUCCUCUACAAUAAAUACACGAGCACUAACUAGAGGUGACUGCGAAAUACAACGCCGCAAGACCAAAUUUGGUCAAAUGGUGGUGUCCAUCAGAGGAACACAGUCCUGGAAUAUAUUACCAACACAUGUUAGAGACUGUGCCACUUACACCACCUUUAAAAAAAACCUUAAACAGUGGUUAGUAGCAAGCCAGACCUGCUCUCAUAUGUAACCUUUGGUCAUUCUAAUUUUUUAACAUGGACUCUUGAUGUGGGGACCUAUUUUGUGUGUAAAAGUGUUUUUUUAAUCUAUUUUGUAUACUGGUAUGUUCAAUUAAGCUAACUCCGGCAUAUUUAUAUUGAUGCUCUGGCUGACAUAUUGAUUAAUGUGCACUGUCCUAAUCAAAUAAAUAAAUAAUAA